AUUGAACGCUGGCGGCAGGCCUAACACAUGCAAGUCGAACGGUAACAGGAAGACUCUUGCUUCUUUGCUGGUGAGUGGCGGAUGGGUGAGUCGUGUCUGGCCAACUGCCUGAUGGAGGGGGAUAACUACUGGAAACGGUAGCUAAUACCGCAUAACGUCGCAAGCCCAAUAAGUGGGACCUUCGUGCCUCUUGCCAUCUGAUAUGCCCAGAUGGGUUGAGCUAGUAGGUGGGGUAACGACUCACCUAGCCGACGAUCCCUACCUGGUCUGAGAGGAUGACCACCCACCCGGGAACGGAGCACCGGUCCGGACUCCUACGGGAGGCAGCAGAGGGGAAUAUUGGACAAUGGGGGAAAGCUUGAUGCAGCAAGGCGGGGGGGAUGAAAAAGGUCUUCGGGUUGUAAAGUACUUUCAGCGGGGAGGAAGGGAGUAAAGUUAAUACCUUCGCUCAUUGACGGUACCCGAAGAAGAAGCACCGGCUAACUCCGUG
rnacentral:rRNA from 1 species